UUUAUGUGCCGCUUUGGCGGCUGCCGUUCUCGUCCUUCGGCGCUGGACCCGUCUUGCCGCGUGAAGCGUGAUAUUUGUUCUCCUUUUCCCGACGUUCUCCCGAGGAAUCGGCGGAUUCGACCACCGUAAUUAGAUUCCCUUCCGUCGGAGCUCCCGAUCGAGGGGAUUGACACUUUGAUACCUCAAUCCGAGUGGAGUUGAGGAGGGACUCUAGUUUGGGUGCACGAUGAGAAUUAAGGAGUCGGAAGAUGGAGGAUCCGAGGAUUCUGGCUGCAGGUGGUCGGAUUCUUUUCUGUCCCUCACUUGUAUACAAUGUCGUCGGAACAGGACGCAAGCUGAGUUCCGAUUGUGGGAUGAGAUCGUCAGGUUUGGUCUUUGAGUUUUCAGUUUACACUCUUGGGUGCUGUACCAUCUCCAAAUAUGUCCCUCGUUUGCACCAGCUUGGAAUUCGAGAAGUCAUUAGUUCGAAUGAACCAUAAGAAAUUUCGGCUCCAUCAGACAUACGGUAAAAAUUGCCUACUCAUCAUAUCUAGAUAUGGUAAAAAAAUUUAUUUUUGGAUGGUACAGUUCUCUUAAGGUUCAUUCUUUUGUUCAGAUAUUUUCUUUUUUUUUCUUUUCUUUUUUGUCUGAUAUAUAUUUUAUCAUUCUAAUCAUCCGAAAAAUUCUGACUUUCAUGUAAGUAGGACCACCACUAUUAAGGACUUUUAGGACUAACAUUAGAACUGAAAAAGUUAUGCUGUUGCCAAAAGAAACCAAGAUUUGCAUUCACAAAACUAUAUUACAAACAAUUCAGUAAUACCCAGAAGCCAUAUGUCAAAGUUGAAUCUUUUACCCAUGUUUCACUGAUUAAUGUUCAUAAUUCAAAAUCCAAAGCUAUGCAUGUUCUGCAGUAAGUUCUGCAUCUGCAAGUGCAUAAUAAGAAAUUUAAUAGACUU